UUUGCGGCAAGACCUUUUUUUGACAAACAGAGGAUAUGUGCGUAAUUAAAUACAAGGUAAGGGUUCUAUUUGUAAAAGAGCAUGCCACAUCAACCCUGACAGCGGGUCCCGGCGGUCAGAUACACCGUCAAUACGCAUUUAUACACAGUUCAGAUUGUUUUGCAUCACUUAGGCCCUGAGUUGGUACUGAACUGCGACAUGCACAAGUAGUGAUACUAAUUCGUGAGUAGGUGAGCAAGUGUGGUACCAACGUGCAAUUAACUCCCCCUGUUCCCCAUUCUCCCAUCGCUAGCUCCCUCCAUAGUCGGCUGUCCGGCUGUCCCAGGUGAGGCCGCCCCUCCCCUUUGUCACCACAGCCUGCGCGAGCUUCGCAGGCACUGAUCUUCCUCCCCUUCUUGUCGAAUCCGGCCACGGAUGUGGCCGAGGAGGCCCUCAAGCUCGGCAUGCUCGCGCCAGCUCUAGGUGUCGUCGGAGGCGGACGUGGAGGCGCGGGACUAGCAUGCCCCUCCUCUUUCCCGCUCCUUCUUCGAAUCUGGUCGCCGAAGUGCUCGAGGAGGCGCUCGACUCGGCAUGCUCGCCGGCGACGCCGGGGCCCCUCCCUCCUCCUGGUGCCCUCACUGUUGCUGCCAUGAGCCUCUCCACCCUCUCCCGCGCGAUGGUCCGGGUCCAGGUAAGUAUCUCUCUGGCCCCGCCGCCUGCUCCUCCCCGUAAAUUCGGUUUGUCACCAAGUGCAUCGCCUCACUGAGAAAUCAUCACGAAUGUCUCCUUUCAAGACUCUGCAUAAUUUGUUCUGUUAUAGGGCUUUGUUAGAUAAGCUGAUUUAACUGAGUUUAUUCUGCUCUAGAUUGCUGCACCUUCUGGUUGUGAGUGGAUCCAAGAGUUAACAUGGUACAAUAUUCAGUCUCAUGUGUUACUCAAGUACUAAAAUGGAAGCAGAGAGAAACAAGCCCAGUGAGAGAGUGGAUAACGGAAGAAACACUUCAACCAAAUCCAGAGAUAUAGAAAAUGAUUGGAGCUGAUGCCGAUCCUAUCGAGAUCCGAGUGCCGAGAACGAGAGCCUCCUCCAUCUUCCCCUCCUCACCAAGGAGAACUGCUACUUCCCUGUUCGAGGAGCUCUCUAUAUCAGCCACUGACCUCCUCAUCUUCAUGGUGCUCACCUCAGCCUGCAAUUUCAGCUGACAGAUAGGUGCAGGAAGAAGAAACAAAUGCAAGAACAUAAAUAGGGAAAAAUAAAACCAAGGUGUCUUGAUGCCUUAACGAGCAUGCGACCUCGGCAGGAGAAGAGAGGAGGGACCUGGGCAGCAGCGGCGGCGGCAGCAGAGGACGGUUGAUGCAGCGCGAUACCUUAUCCAGGAGGCGGCCAUCCAGCAUGGUAGAUGGGGGAGGCAUGGCCGCGUGGUCUAGCAGAGAUGCCUCGUGUAGAUGAAGACGAUAAAGCGGCGCUGGCAGAGCAUGGGGCAGCCGCGUCUCGGCCACCGUGCGGCACGGCGAGGCAUGCCGCCUAGCGCGGCUGCUGUUGCCAUCCUCCCAUCAACGAAGAACAUGAGACGUCCCCCGGUAUCUAAGCACCAGCGGUGUGGUUAUCUUCGUCGGAGCGGCAUCAGAAACCGAGAGGAGGCGACGGAAGCAGUAGUAGGCAAGGGAGAUUGGAGAGAGCCAGAGAGAGAAAGAGAAACUGGAAGCUUCCAGGGCUCGCGAGAUAUUUUGCCGGAACUACUAUGCAGCCGAUGCUCAUUGCACGAUCAGUGAACGAUGCUUGGAUCCAGCGGAUGUGCUCCAUCUUGUCCCAUGCAUGCACGGUUGGAUCAAUAGGAUCGUCCAAAGUUCGGCUGCACCCUGUCGUGUGUAUAGCAGCGCCGAUCUUUGUCUUUGUAAACAAACCAACGCACGCACGAUCCUCUCCAACUGACCGCCCCGGUUGCCGUGACCCCCUUCCUCCGCCCUCUCUCCCCCACCCCCAGCCCCACCCAUGACACAUCCGGAGGAGAUGGUGAAGAAAGAGAGGGAGGAAGAGUGAUGCGGAGCAUCCUACGGUCAUCACCAUGUCAAGAGUCCGUUUGGAAAGUGACACGUGCGACCUCUACUUCUCAUACAAAAAGGUGAAUCUUCUCCUUUACACGUGCUCACUUGACCCCUUCGAGGAUGGUAUACUACUUGACACUUCUCCCGUGUGCAUGCAUAGGUAUUGUCGGAGCUUCACGGAUAUCGAGAAGGAGUGCAAGCGCCAAGGAACAACUACACCAUCCGCGAGGGAAGCCUGGAAGCGACGAUGGAAGAAGACGGAGCUGCUGAAGCUACAGCGGCCGGACAUCCGGGCCAGAGGCCGGACAUCCGGCGCCUGUGCAGCCUCCGAGGAGCUGCACCAACAAGACGGCCGAAGCAUCAGCGGCCGGACAUCCGGCCCGUGUGCCCGGACAUCUGGCGCCUCAGCAACCCCCGAAAAUCCGACACUCUCCACCGGAAAUCCGGCGCCCCUAUCCAGAGAGCACCAUGACCAACCUCGCCAGCCCGGACAUCCGGCACCCCGCGAACGGCCGGACAUCCGGCACCCAGCCGGACAUCCGGCGCCUGCCUGCGCGUAUGGACAGGGCCUAAGGCCCAUGUAUCCCUUUCCCACUUACCCCUUCGUGGCUAAGACCAUAUAUACUCCAUCUCCUUCCUCUAGUUAGGGUUAGCAAAUAUGAUAGCUCAUUCUUAGGUGAGCUUUGCUCCUACCUUUACUCUUGAGAGAGAGAGACUACCACUCCCAUGGAGUUCAAGACCUCCAUGUGAGAAGAUCCCGCGGGAUUCAAGCCUCCCUUCGUGGGAAGAUCCUUCUAGGAUUCAAGCCCUCAUCUUCAUAGGAUUUGGGAUGAACUCUACCUUGUAUCUUUCUCUUUGUUGUUCAUGUACCUUGUGGAUUUUGUGUGUUUGAUUGUCUAGUGGAUGUGUGAUUGGACUUGUUCUUGAGUGUUUCCCCUUGUGAUUUCUCCCUGUUCUU